rnacentral:rRNA from 1 species
AUACGGAGGGGGUUAGCGUUGUUCGGAAUUACUGGGCGUAAAGCGCACGUAGGCGGAUUGGAAAGUUGGGGGUGAAAUCCCGGGGCUCAACCCUGGAACUGCCUCCAAAACUAACAGUCUAGAGUUCGAGAGAGGUGAGUGGAAUUCCAAGUGUAGAGGUGAAAUUCGUAGAUAUUUGGAGGAACACCAGUGGCGAAGGCGGCUCACUGGCUCGAUACUGACGCUGAGGUGCGAAAGCGUGGGGAGCAAACAGGAUUAGAAACCCCAGUAGUCC